CAGUCGCCGCGGUAAUACGUAGGGUGCAAGCGUUAAUCGGAAUUACUGGGCGUAAAGCGUGCGCAGGCGGUUAUAUAAGACAGAUGUGAAAUCCCCGGGCUCAACCUGGGAACUGCAUUUGUGACUGUAUAGCUAGAGUACGGCAGAGGGGGAUGGAAUUCCGCGUGUAGCAGUGAAAUGCGUAGAUAUGCGGAGGAACACCGAUGGCGAAGGCAAUCCCCUGGGCCUGUACUGAUGCUCAUGCACGAAAGCGUGGGGAGCAAACAGGAUUAGAUACCCGCGUAGUCCCUGUCUCUUAUAC
rnacentral:rRNA from 1 species